AUUGAACGCUGGCGGCAGGCCUAACACAUGCAAGUCGAGCGGCAACGGGAAAGUAGCUUGCUACUUUUGCCGGCGAGCGGCGGACGGGUGAGUAAUGCCUGGGGAUCUGCCCAAUCGAGGGGGAUAACUACUGGAAACGGUAGCUAAUACCGCAUACGCCCUACGGGGGAAAGCAGGGGACCUUCGGGCCUUGCGCGAUUGGAUGAACCCAGGUGGGAUUAGCUAGUUGGUGAGGUAAUGGCUCACCAAGGCGACGAUCCCUAGCUGGUCUGAGAGGAUGAUCAGCCAGACUGGCACUGAGACACGGUCCAGACUCCUACGGGAGGCAGCAGUGGGGAAUAUUGCACAAUGGGGGAACCCCUGAUGCAGCCAUGCCGCGUGGGUGAAGAAGGCCAUCGGGUUGUAAAGCACUUUCAGCGAGGAGGAAAGGUUGGUAGCUAAUAACUGCCAGCUGUGACGUUACUCGCAGAAGAAGCACCGGCUAACUCCGUGCCAGCAGCCGCCGUAA
rnacentral:rRNA from 1 species